ensembl:snoRNA
GUCCAAGCUGAUUCCCUCUCCAGGGGGCCCGCCCGUGCCCCUCUUCCGGAAAGUAGCAACUUGGAAGAUGAUCUGGCAUGCCUGAGGCUGCUCGGGGACAGGGCACGUCUGUUCCUUUGCCUGCCUUUGGCCGCCUACACUC